CUGGCCGAGCGCGUACUGCUCUCGGGUUAGCUUCCUGUACCGGUACGCGAUCCCGUGUACCGGUACGCCAGGGUAGGUGAGGGGCUUUUUAGUAAUAUCACCUUGCCUUGUUUGUAUCACCAUUCCAUCCCUUACUUUAUACGUGUAGGAGCAGAGAGAGAGAGAGCUAUUUGCUGCCCAUUUCCUUCUCUCUCUCCCUAGCAUUGAUCGAAUAGGUGGAGUUCGGUUGGAGCUCGGAUUCGACACCGACGUUGCGCCGCGAAGCCGUUCGGGGAUACGGUUGGGAUCGUAGCGCUGCGAGGAAGCUAGGCGAGGGUGCGUUGUUGCCGUUCUCGACGCCGUGUCGCUGAUCGAUUAGCCGUUGAGAAUUUCACCGUCGACUGUUGGUAUUUUGGCUCGUUCUCGACGUAGGAGCAUCGGAUUGUGACGAGACUUGGCUCGUUGGAUUCGGGACUUCGAGAGGAAUCCACAGAGCCCUCACUUGCAAUUUUUGGUCAAGCUUGGCGUUGGCUUGGCGACCGGACUUGGAGAUCCCCGAUUGAUCCAGCGGAGUUCCUUUUAGGCCGAGGCUUCGUUUGCUGCCAGGAGAUAGCACUUUAGAGCCACAGGUUCCGGCUGCUGCACCGUCUGCGGACCAGGAUCGAGGCAAGGGCGUCGCG